rnacentral:rRNA from 1 species
GACGAACGCUGGCGGCGUGCUUAACACAUGCAAGUCGAACGGAAAGGCCCUGCUUUUGUGGGGUGCUCGAGUGGCGAACGGGUGAGUAACACGUGAGUAACCUGCCCUUGACUUUGGGAUAACUUCAGGAAACUGGGGCUAAUACCGGAUAGGAGCUCCUGCUGCAUGGUGGGGGUUGGAAAGUUUCGGCGGUUGGGGAUGGACUCGCGGCUUAUCAGCUUGUUGGUGGGGUAGUGGCUUGCCAAGGCUUUGACGGGUAGCCGGCCUGAGAGGGUGACCGGCCACAUUGGGACUGAGAUACGGCCCAGACUCCUACGGGAGGCAGCAGUGGGGAAUAUUGCACAAUGGGCGGAAGCCUGAUGCAGCAACGCCGCGUGCGGGACGACGGCCUUCGGGUUGUAAACCGCUUUCGCCUGUGACGAAGCGUGAGUGACGGUAAUGGGUAAAGAAGCACCGGCUAACUACGUG